rnacentral:rRNA from 1 species
CCCUUAGAUGUCCGGGGCCGCACGCGCGCUACACUGAAGGAAUCAGCGUGGCUUUCUCCCUGACCCGAAAGGGUUGGGAAACCCGUUGAAUCUCCUUCGUGAUAGGGAUUGGGGCUUGAAAUUGUACCCCAUGAACGAGGAAUUCCCAGUAAGCGCGAGUCAUAAGCUCGCGUUGAUUACGUCCCUGCCCUUUGUACACACCGCCCGUCGCUACUACCGAUUGAACGGUUUAGUGAGGGCCUCGGAUUGGUCUCGGCCCGCUCUUUACCGGGCGGCGCCGUUGGUCGAGAAGACGCUCGAACUUGAUCGUUUAGAGGAAGUAAAAGUCGUAACA